rnacentral:rRNA from 1 species
AGCGAACGCUGGCGGCAGGCCUAACACAUGCAAGUCGAACGAAGUCUUCGGACUUAGUGGCGGACGGGUGAGUAACACGUGGGAACGUGCCCUUAGGUUCGGAAUAACUCAGGGAAACUUGUGCUAAUACCGAAUGUGCCCUUCGGGGGAAAGAUUUAUCGCCUUUAGAGCGGCCCGCGUCUGAUUAGCUAGUUGGUGAGGUAAAGGCUCACCAAGGCGACGAUCAGUAGCUGGUCUGAGAGGAUGACCAGCCACAUUGGGACUGAGACACGGCCCAAACUCCUACGGGAGGCAGCAGUGGGGAAUCUUGCGCAAUGGGCGAAAGCCUGACGCAGCUAUGCCGCGUGGAUGAUGAAGGUCUUAGGAUUGUAAAAUCCUUUCACCGGUGAAGAUAAUGACUGUAGCCGGAGAAGAAGCCCCGGCUAACUCCGUGCCAGCAGCCGCCGUAACAC